rnacentral:rRNA from 1 species
CCUACGGGUGGCAGCAGUGAGGAAUAUUGGUCAAUGGACGAGAGUCUGAACCAGCCAAGUAGCGUGAAGGAUGACUGCCCUAUGGGUUGUAAACUUCUUUUAUAUGGGAAUAAAACGUUCCCCGUGUGGGAUUUUGUAUGUACCAUAUGAAUAAGGAUCGGCUAACUCCGUGCCAGCAGCCGCGGUAAUACGGAGGAUCCGAGCGUUAUCCGGAUUUAUUGGGUUUAAAGGGAGCGUAGGUGGAUUGUUAAGUCAGUUGUGAAAGUUUGCGGCUCAACCGUAAAAUUGCAGUUGAAACUGGCAGUCUUGAGUACAGUAGAGGUGGGCGGAAUUCGUGGUGUAGCGGUGAAAUGCUUAGAUAUCACGAAGAACUCCGAUUGCGAAGGCAGUUCACUGGACUGCAACUGACACUGAGGCUCGAAAGUGUGGGUAUCAAACAGGAUUAGAUACCCUAGUAGUC